rnacentral:rRNA from 1 species
UACAGAGGGGGCAAGCGUUGUUCGGAAUUACUGGGCGUAAAGGGCGCGUAGGCGGCCCGCUAAGUCGAACGUGAAAUCCCUCGGCUUAACCGGGGAACUGCGUCUGAUACUGGAUGGCUUGAGUUCGGGAGAGGGAUGCGGAAUUCCAGGUGUAGCGGUGAAAUGCGUAGAUAUCUGGAGGAACACCGGUGGCGAAGGCGGCAUCCUGGACCGACACUGACGCUGAGGAGCGAAAGCCAGGGGAGCAAACGGG